GAUUAAGUUAUUAAGGGCGCACGGUGGAUGCCUUGGCACUAGAAGCCGAUGAAGGACGUUACUAACGACGAUAUGCUUUGGGGAGCUGUAAGUAAGCUUUGAUCCAGAGAUUUCCGAAUGGGGAAACCCAGCAUGAGUUAUGUCAUGUUAUCGAUAUGUGAAUACAUAGCAUAUCAGAAGGCACACCCGGAGAACUGAAACAUCUUAGUACCCGGAGGAAGAGAAAGAAAAUUCGAUUCCCUUAGUAGCGGCGAGCGAAACGGGAAGAGCCCAAACCAACAAGCUUGCUUGUUGGGGUUGUAGGACACUCUAUACGGAGUUACAAAGGACGACAUUAGACGAAUCAUCUGGAAAGAUGAAUCAAAGAAGGUAAUAAUCCUGUAGUCGAAAAUGUUGUCUCUCUUGAGUGGAUCCUGAGUACGACGGAGCACGUGAAAUUCCGUCGGAAUCUGGGAGGACCAUCUCCUAAGGCUAAAUACUCUCUAGUGACCGAUAGUGAACCAGUACCGUGAGGGAAAGGUGAAAAGCACCCCGGAAGGGGAGUGAAAUAGAACCUGAAA
rnacentral:rRNA from 1 species